rnacentral:rRNA from 1 species
UACGUAGGGUGCAAGCGUUAAUCGGAAUUACUGGGCGUAAAGCGUGCGCAGGCGGUUAUGCAAGACAGAUGUGAAAUCCCCGGGCUUAACCUGGGAACUGCAUUUGUGACUGCAAGGCUAGAGUACGGUAGAGGGGGAUGGAAUUCCGCGUGUAGCAGUGAAAUGCGUAGAUAUGCGGAGGAACACCGAUGGCGAAGGCAAUCCCCUGGACCUGUACUGACGCUCAUGCACGAAAGCGUGGGGAGCAAACAGG